AGUUGGCUCAGUGGUAGAGUGCUUGCCUAGCAUGCAGGAUGCCUGAGUUCAAUUCCUCAGUACUA
rnacentral:tRNA from 1 species